GAUGUGGGCAGAAGAGAAGGUGUACCACCUCUCAUCCUGGUCCAGAAACCCCACGUGUGUGACCCCAGGCUCGUUUCUGUGCUCAGCUCUCCACUUGGAGUCACAUAUUGAAGAGAGUGGAGCCACAGGAUGGAGGAGCCCUGAAUAUUGCUUGGAGGAGCACCGCCCACAGGAAUAAAUUGAAGAAAUAAAUCCUCUAAAGAAACAUUGACCAAAAAAGAGAAAUGGAAAUGUAUAUUAACAAACUGAUUUGUACAAGAAUGUCGAUAGUAACUUUAGGAACAAAUCAUCUCACACUUGAAAAAACCCACAUGCCCAUCAAGAGAAGAAAAGAUGAAAAAUGUGUGAUAUUUUUUGAAUAGUGGAAUUAACCCUCAGCAAUUGAAAAGAUGAGCCAAGAGGUACCAGAGAGCUGCUUAGAGUUCUGGUGAACGAAACAUUUCUUGGUCACCUAGUAUAAGUGGAUUUAUCUUGAUAUGAAACAUACUGGCCCUUCUGCCCCCAAACACCUGAGCCUGGAGGUCCUGAGCCUGGAGGUCCUGAGCCCACCGUGAAUAUUUGGGCUGCUGGGAUUGUUGCAUCAGCCCAUGUGAAGUUGUAGGGUGGUAUGCUGCGAAUCCAGCUCUGUGACUUUGGCGAAUCCAAGUCCAUCCCUGAGAGACGGCUCUGCACAUUGAACACUAAGUAAUUGGUUUCUAAGCCUGGGAGGCUGGAAGCCAGAUCAGGCAGGUGGUACAUUCUUGUCAAAAAAUGCCGCUGGUAAGGCCUCCGGGAAACAACACCUGUUGUAGUCAUUACCUGUGUAAUGACUUGGGCAGAAUGCACUGUUUUCAGUGAUUUCCAAUUUCUUUCUUUAAAAUUUAAGUUUGCAGGAGAAGAAAAGCUCUGAUAAAGCUAGUGUCAUUGUGGAAAAGGAGCCCAACCUAACCUGCAAGUACGACGCUAUUCAAGCAGCUUUAACUCGAGCUAUGUUGCUGCUCUGAACCCAGGAGUUGCAUGAAUCUCCCCUUCAAGGUGUGGAUACCUUUGCAAAACACCUGUUCUCUAGAAGCACCUUAACCUCUAUUGAAGAGUUCAUUUUUGCGGAAAUGAAUCCGACUAGGAAUCAUGAGCUGUGGCCAAGUAGCACAUGAAAGAGAGAUGGAGGAUUUCCAAGCACCCAUUCAAGGCAACAUUCCUCACCAUAUUUCAAAUUCCAGAUGGGUGCUGUUGACAUCCGGGUCAUCAAAUGAGCAGGUCAGCAAGUGCUGAGGUCCAUCCACUUCCAGCUGACUGUAGCACGAGAAGGAGUAGUCGUCCGGCUCUGCGUCGUCAAAGUCUCCUGGGAAGGAACAAACCUACAGCUGUUAAUGAAGCCAAGAAAUGCUUCUUUUUGAAAUCUGGAGCGAUGUUGAUGAAAUGGCAGCCUUUUGUGGCAGAUGUGAAAGAGUGAUGAUUGUUUAUCUGAAGAAGGAAAGCUGGAGGGCAAAGGCAAUAAAUAGGAUUAAAAAAAAAUCGACACAAAACCUAGCGAGCACAGAUUUUUGCUGAUAGAAAAGAGUUAUCACGAUGAAUACAUAGCCUAGAAAGAUUUCCAAAUAUCUCUGCCAUUGAGUGCAUUAGAGCUCUAGAGUGAAAUAAUAAACAUACACUUUCUUUUGUA